AUGAACUUCUCAAUUCAACCCAUCAAUUGGGGAAAUGCUACAUUAUGUGGAGGAAGAUAGCAACUCGUCCUCUCCAGUGUAUGAAGCCUAUCAACCACCACUAACUACUUUUGGGGAGCCAAUAGUCAUUGAGAUCCUUAUGGUCUAAGAAGUGACUAGCUUGAGAGCUUCCCAUGCUGCUUCUCGGGUCAACCCACUGGCUUCUUCGAAGGCCAUUGCCACCACAGAGGUGUUUCCUCAUUCUCUUCAAAGUCCUGCAUAGUUUUCUGGUGAGGGGUUGGGCUAAUCUCCUCGGCCCACUUUAGGAAGUAAAGUUGACUAUCCUACACCAUUAAAGGCAACAAGAACUCAUCCACCUUCUUCCAAGGCUCCGAGCUCAACCAAGGGUUCUGGCGAAGGCUGGGGCCAAUCCCUUCCGCCUUUAGUGCACAAAGUAGCUCUUCCUAGGCCUCCCUUGGUUUCUGAGGGUACGAGGAUCCCUAUCCCUCGGCCAAAGAAGAAAAUCAAGACUGCUGUUGGUCCGUCCACUCCUAGGUCUCCUCCUCCCAUUGCUACCGAGACUGCCUCCACUGCUGUAGUUUUUGAAAGAGUUGGAGCAUUGCAUCCUCCUCUCACAUCUAUAUCUGCAAUAGCCUCUUUGCCCGAGCUUGUCUUAGCGCCUUUGGGCCUUCUAUCAUUUAAGCCCAAUAUUCAAAUAUUAACCCAAAUAAUGCCCCUUUUAAUCAUUGUUAAGUCUACAAACCAAGGCCUGAAUGAUGAUUAAAAUGAACUACACGCUUUUGCUUGGGACUUGUACUAUU
rnacentral:sRNA from 1 species